UCACUCAAGACUUCUUUCUUUCAGGAGGACAGGAUAGCCAUCACUGGAGGCGUGUGGGACCCCAGGACACAACUGAAAACGGGUCUGCGUGGUUUGAUGGUCCUGUGUUAGAAAAUCGGGGUGAUCUGACUACCUGGGUUUGGAGAUGGGCAUCUUGUUUUCUGGCAGAAUUGAGGAAAGCAAGGCUGCUUUGGGCUGUGUGUAAAUUGUAAACUGGUUCUCAGAACAGACUCCAGGUCACACCUAUCUGAAGCCGGCUUGACGGCAGGGAGAGCUGGAGAGCGGAAGAAUGUGCUGAGAAAGGGAGUGCUCGGUACUUUUCCAUUCACAUCUCCACAGUGGCUUUUCUUGUUUAUUUCAACCUCCACCAGCGGAACCCUGUCAGCUGCCUGAAAUCCGAGUCAUUAAACUGUUCCCUGAGAAACAACGAUGCUACACUAGCAAAGAGCCCACCUGGUACCAGAUCUUGAUUUCUGAUACUUCUGUGCAGUAAUGGAAAACAAGGCUCCUUGGAGAAACGUCUGGUUCUAGAUCUAGAACUGGGGCAAGAAGUAUUCAAAAUCAGAAUGGAACAUCUUAUAGCAUCAUAAAUAAAGAAUUGCUGAAAAACAAACAAAAACUACAUCGAUGGGGCAUAUUUCAAAGAGACACUGGAGCCACUUGAAGAGCUCCCAAUGGGCAAAGCUGGAAGAUUUGGAGUAAAAAAAAAGAAAUCAAGUCAUAUUAGAUUACAAUCCAAAGUCUAAAAGAAAUAUCCAUGAAUCCACACUGAUAUAAAUUAUUAAAUAAAUUAAUAAAUCAGAGAAAAGAGACAAAUCUCCCUUGAAGAAAAAUUCCAAAUCAUUUAUGUAGAUACACUGCCAGCAAGGAUGGGGGCAGGGGGUGGUGUGUAACUCCUCACUCCUCAGGUGUGAGCUAUGCACAGUGACUUCCUUCCAAAGAGUACAGUAUGGGAAGGGAGGAAAGGAGGGAGGGAAUCAUUUUACAUGGAGAAACCUGACAAACACUACACCAGCCAAUUCACCAAGGUGAACAUCAGCAAUUAUAAGCCAUGUUGAUUGUUAUGUACCUUUGAUCUGAGGAGAUGAAAAUGGCUUUUUACCUCUGUGGUCUUCCUCCCACACCCCAGUCUAUUUAUGAGAAAAGUCUCAGACAAGUUUCAACAGAAGGGCAUCCUACAAAAGACGUCACCAGUAUUCCACAGAACUAUCAAGGAAAGUCUGAGAAAUUGCAGCAGCUGAGAGCAACCUCAGAAGAUAUGACAGCUUAAUGUAAUGUAGUAUCCUGGAUGGGAUCAUGAAACAGAAAAAGAUAAGGUAAACCCAGACAAAUCUGAAUAAAUG